ensembl:lncRNA
UUUAUUUUUUUAAUCUAAACAAAAUAUAAUGGAACUGUUCAUCAUUCCUUAUAACUUUUAGGUCUGGUUUCACAGACAGGGCUUGGAUUAAGCCAGGAUUAGGCCGUAGUUAAAGUAGAACAUUGAAGUAGCUUUUAUAAGCGUGCCUUAGAAAAAAAAAAAAACAUUACUGAUGUGCAUCUUGAGACAAAACCACAUUACUGACAUAUUUUUGUUUUGUUUAUGAUGCCCAAUAGUUGCCAGAUGCUGUCCUGUCGGGAAAUUCUUCUUCACGUGGUCCUGGAGGAGGGUGAUGCUGCAUUAUUAAAUCUGUCUCUGGUUUGUUACAAAUUCAGAAGUCUGGAGUAUACAGUCUCAUUUGAAAGAGGCCACACCUCUGCUGGGUUGACAGUGUAACAAAAUGGAGAACAAGUCUGAGCCAUGCCAAGAAUUCUUAAAAAUGUACACACUGCAGCCCUGCGAUGAGGUUUACAAGAACUGCUUACCAGGUCACCGUAACCACCAGUUCCAGUCUGUAUCCAGAUCAGAGGGUCACUGCAGUCACCCGGAUCGAGUACGUAUCCAGAUCAGAUGGUGGAUCAGCACCUAGAGAGGACCUCUACAGCCCUGAAAGACAGCGGAGACCCAUAGACAGAUCCCCUGUAAAGACCUUGUCUCAGACGACCACCGGGACAAGACCACAGGAACAGAUGAUUCUUCUGCACAACCUGACUUUGCUGCAGCCUGUAAUUGAACUGCUGGUUUCGUCUGGUCAGAGGAGAACUGGCCCCACAACUGAGCCUGAUUUCUCCCAAGGUUUUUUUCUCCAUUCUCUCACUGAUGGAGUUUUGGUUCCUUGCCGCUGUCGCCUCUGGCUUGCUUAG